UACGUAGGGUGCAAGCGUUGUCCGGAAUUAUUGGGCGUAAAGAGCUCGUAGGCGGUUUGUCGCGUCUGCUGUGAAAACCCGAGGCUCAACCUCGGGCCUGCAGUGGGUACGGGCAGACUAGAGUGCGGUAGGGGAGAUUGGAAUUCCUGGUGUAGCGGUGGAAUGCGCAGAUAUCAGGAGGAACACCAAUGGCGAAGGCAGAUCUCUGGGCCUUACCUGACGCUCAGGCGCGAAAGCUAGGGGAGCGAACAGG
rnacentral:rRNA from 1 species